rnacentral:rRNA from 1 species
AGUGAACGCUGGCGGUAGGCCUAACACAUGCAAGUCGAACGGCAGCACAGUAAGAGCUUGCUCUUACGGGUGGCGAGUGGCGGACGGGUGAGGAAUACAUCGGAAUCUACUUUUUCGUGGGGGAUAACGUAGGGAAACUUACGCUAAUACCGCAUACGACCUACGGGUGAAAGCAGGGGAUCUUCGGACCUUGCGCGAUUGAAUGAGCCGAUGUCGGAUUAGCUAGUUGGCGGGGUAAAGGCCCACCAAGGCGACGAUCCGUAGCUGGUCUGAGAGGAUGAUCAGCCACAUUGGAACUUGGACACGGUCCAGACUCCUACGGGAGGCAGCAGUGGGGAAUAUUGGACAAUGGGCGCAAGCCUGAUCCAGCCAUACCGCGUGGGUGAAGAAGGCCUUCGGGUUGUAAAGCCCUUUUGUUGGGAAAGAAAAGCAGCAGGUUAAUACCCCGCUGUUCUGACGGUACCCAAAGAAUAAGCACCGGCUAACUUCGUG